rnacentral:rRNA from 1 species
UUAAAAAGCUCGUAGUCGGAUUUUGGCUGAGAACGGUCGGUCCGCCGUUAGGUGUGCACUGACUGGUCUCAGCUUCCUGGUGAGGAGGUGUGCUUCAUCGCCACUUAGUCACCGUGGUUACUUUGAAAAAAUUAGAGUGUUCAAAGCGGGCUUACGCUUGAAUAUAUUAGCAUGGAAUAACACCAUAGGACUCCUGUCCUAUUUCGUUGGUCUCGGGACGGGAGUAAUGAUUAAGAGGAACAGUUGGGGGCAUUCGUAUUUCAUUGUCAGAGGUGAAAUUCUUGGAUUUAUGAAAGGCGAACUUCUGCGAAAGCAUUUGCCAAGGAUGUUUUCAUUGAUCAAGAACGAAAGUUGGGGGCUCGAAGAUGAUUAGAUACCAUCCUAGUCUCAACCAUAAACGAUGCCGACUAGGGAUUGGCGGAUGUUAAUUGAUGACUUCGCCAGCACCUUAUGAG